rnacentral:lncRNA from 1 species
CUUAGAAUACUGCUUGGCACAUGAUGUGGCCAGUCCACCACCAAAGCAAGGAAGGAGAUAUGAGAAGGAAGUUUCGUCUCCUACCCAGUGCAUCAUUACUGGCAACAGUGAGAAGCAGAGCUGGGAAUUUGAGAAGCAAACCAAUGCCUUCUGCUUCUCAUCAUUAUUCCUGACAACAGACAGAAAAGAGGCAAACCUUCACCUUCUGUGGUCGCUUCUGAUACUCAGCCGGGAACCUCAUUCUCAGUAGCUACAGAUUUCCCUAAUCACUCAUCUUAACUUGACACUGCGUUCUAGUGCCUUUCGUGAGAAGGGUCUUGGGAGGCCAUAAACCUAUGUUGCUGGGAAAAGAAUGUACUGCAAUAAAGAGAGCAGGAGAGGAGCUGCAGAUUUCCAGCUCUCACAGCUUGUUCACUUGUGGAGACUAGGCUGCAAUGUGCUCUUGAAAUCAUUGGGGUGGGCCUUGUUUCUGAGGAAAUAAAGAGGCCCCAGAACCUCCCAAGUGAGCGAAAAAAUGAUUUCCAGAUACUCAAAUGGAGUGGCCUUCUGGCUACAUGAGCUGGAUGUGCUUGGCAGUCUUUCCAUCUGGCUGGCCAGUAUCCUGAGGUUAGCAAAGCAGAAGGCAAAUCUUUGGGGAGCUAAAAGACAUGUGCACGUGCCAGUAUUUUUGACAAAUGCUCAGUUAAUUGUUUUCUAUGAUUCUUCUCCCGAGACACAAACUGUGUGCACCAGGCACCAAGAACUAUCCCCAUCCCACCACCCCAGAUCCCAAGGGAAACUUCAUAAUUACACACGUUUGGGCCAAACAUCUACCCCACAGGAAAUGGACACAUCAGCCCCUAGGGAUGAAAGAAUGAUGCAGGGCAUGGGAAAGCAGAGAAAUCUCCUGAGUGAGAAAGAAGACAAAUUCACAGAAGCCUGAGAGCCUAUAUACCAGUAGGAGAAACUCAGAAUUUCUUUUCAGGAUACUAAGGAAAUGGUGGUCAGAAGAGGCCCGGGACGGAUGAAAUUCACCAAAGUCUCUACCACAGACAUUCUCAGAUGGUCCUAAUAAAAAGAAGAAACCCAAACCAGAACUGGUGGUCCACAUUGUGAGAGUUGCUGAAUAUCAUCACAAAGCAAUAAUUAUCCAACAGCAUGCUUGGUGGCUCAACAUUCUGAAAGGCAAAUGUCAAGGGCACAUAGUCUCAACCAUGUUGCUGAUGGGAGCUCAUGUUUUUUGUGUUGGGUGGUCUUGUGUUCUGCCUGGUGGUCUUUCUUCUGCCUGCUAUGACAGCACUAAUGAUUUCAUGUACACAGUAUUCACUUGUCUCCCUUUAGUAGUGCAUGACAAGUCAUAAAAGACAGACUGCCCAGAAAUGACACUGCAGUAUUCCAGACAUUUUCUCUCUUGGUGGUGACAGUUCCAAAUCAAGCUGGCUCAGUGCUUUUAAGUCAAAGCAUUUGUCGAAGUGGCAGUUUGAAACACAGCCUUAGAUCUGGAGAAUCAAACUAGGCUCUUCUCACCUCUCCCAUCAUUGCUGGUAAUAAAUAUUCAACUGCUGGACCACAGCUAGCAGAUUAUGAUAGAUGACACAGAAUAGAAUCCAACUCUUUCUUUCUUAUCUGUGAAGAACUCCUCUUUUGGUUAGAGAGAUUUCACUACCUUUUAAUAAGCAUAAGUAGGUCAUUUUACAGAAUUUCUUCUGCACUCAUUCAGGAUUUCUUUCCCAAAUUCCCACAAAGAGUAGCAAGGGAAGCUUCAUAGCUGCAUAGAAUAUUAAUAUAAUUUCUGUUCAGAGGAUCAACGUAUCACAUACUCAAAAAUCAAUCCAGGCAAUUAUCAAGGUUUUAACUCUAAAGAAUGUAUUAGAACAUUCUUCAUCAGAAGUUGACCUAUAAUUCUGUAUAGGGCAAUCAGACCAAGAAUUUACUCUCAAUAGACUUGGGGCCAUCAUUUAGAUUAGGUUUGGGGAAUUCAGUGCUACUCCCCACAAACCACCCAUCCCAAAUGAUCUUCCUGCAAAGUCCUACACUCACUGCCUCUACUAUUCACUGGCCAUUUUAUUACUUUUGGCCUUUUAUUGUGGUUAAAUUUUCAUAAUCAUUCUUUUGUUAAACGAACAUAAAUUGGGUCUCUGUUAAACCUUUUUAAGACCUAGAAAAAGCUUCUAAACAGGAGUGAUACUUGAGCUGGCCAUUCUAAGUGCUUCUAUCACAUCCUUAAGAAAUAUUUGAUGCAGAACCUGCCAUGCUAUAUUGUAAUCAUUUUGCUUCAUUGACUGUUUCUCCUCCUUUAUUAUAGGUUCCUUGAAAGCAGAUACCAGACAUAUUUAUCUUCCCAUACCAGUGUCUAAACACUGUGCCUGGUUCAUAGCACAGGGUCAAUACAUGUUUUAACGAGUAGAUUAAACUUGGCCCAUUGGAGGGGAGAGAGUGAUUACAAGGACAAAUAAGAUUUAGUUUUAUCCCUUAAGGUCUUUCUAAGUUAGCACAUGGCUAGGUACAGAGUAGAUGCUCAGUAAGUGCUGGUUGGUUAGUCAAUUCUCAGUUAUUUUUCUUCAGAUGGAAAGACAAGACUACCAAAAUGAAUAUAUACCAGCAAAGCCAGUUACUGUUUUAUUUUGAAAUAUCAACACCUUUCCUUGCUUCACUCAGGACCCCAAGUACUAAUGAACAAGAAAGAAACAAAGCAUAGGGGUUGUUUAUCAUACCAAACACAAUAUCUGAAGCCAAAACUGAGACACAUAGUCUUGCACCAGUAGAGGAUUUUUUUUUUUUUC